rnacentral:rRNA from 1 species
ACAGAGGGGGCAAGCGUUAUUCGGAAUUAUUGGGCGUAAAGGGCGCGUAGGCGGCCGUGCAAGUGGAAGGUGAAAUCCCUCGGCUCAACCGAGGAACUGCCUUUCAAACUGCAUGGCUUGAGUCCGGGAGAGGUGAGUGGAAUUCCCAGUGUAGCGGUGAAAUGCGUAGAUAUUGGGAGGAACACCAGUGGCGAAGGCGGCGUUCUGGACUGCAACUGACACUGAUGAACGAAAGCCAGGGGAGCAAACGGGA